UGAACGCUAGCGGCAGGCCUAACACAUGCAAGUCGAGGGGUAACGAUUAGAUAGCUUGCUAUUUAAGGCGACGACCGGCGCACGGGUGAGUAACGCGUAUGCAACCUACCUUUAACUGAGGAAUAGCCCGGAGAAAUUCGGAUUAAUGCCUCAUAAUAUUUUUCUAAUACCUAUUAGAAUCAUUAAAGCUCCGGCGGUUAAAGAUGGGCAUGCGUGACAUUAGAUAGUUGGUAAGGUAACGGCUUACCAAGUCUACGAUGUCUAGGGGGCCUGAGAGGGUAAUCCCCCACACUGGUACUGAGACACGGACCAGACUCCUACGGGAGGCAGCAGUGAGGAAUAUUGGGCAAUGGAGGCAACUCUGACCCAGCCAUGCCGCGUGCAGGAAGACGGCUCUACGAGUUGUAAACUGCUUUUACACGGGAAUAAACUUCACUACGUGUAGUGAACUGAAUGUACCGUAUGAAUAAGCACCGGCUAACUCC
rnacentral:rRNA from 1 species